rnacentral:rRNA from 1 species
UACGAAGGGGGCUAGCGUUGCUCGGAAUCACUGGGCGUAAGGGUGCGUAGGCGGGUCUUUAAGUCAGGGGUGAAAUCCUGGAGCUCAACUCCAGAACUGCCUUUGAUACUGAAGAUCUUGAGUUCGGGAGAGGUGAGUGGAACUGCGAGUGUAGAGGUGAAAUUCGUAGAUAUUCGCAAGAACACCAGUGGCGAAGGCGGCUCACUGGCCCGAUACUGACGCUGAGGCACGAAGCGUGGGAGCA